GUCAGUGUGGUGUAGUGGUUUGAGUGUUGGACUAUGACUCUGGAGACCAAGGUUCAAUUCCCCACUCAGCCA
rnacentral:tRNA from 1 species